UACGUAGGGUGCGAGCGUUGUCCGGAAUUAUUGGGCGUAAAGGGCUCGUAGGCGGUCUGUCACGUCGAAAGUGAAAACUCAGGGCUUAACCCUGAGCCUGCUUCCGAUACGGGCAGACUAGAGGUAUGCAGGGGAGAAUGGAAUUCCUGGUGUAGCGGUGAAAUGCGCAGAUAUCAGGAGGAACACCAAUAGCGAAGGCAGCUCGCUGGGACGGUACUGACGCUAAGGCGCGAAAGCGUGGGGAGCAAACAGG
rnacentral:rRNA from 1 species